rnacentral:rRNA from 1 species
UAAGCCUGCGAAGGUGGCCUGUGAGGGUUGCUGGAGGUAUCAGAAGUGCGAAUGCUGACAUAAGUAACGAUAAAGCGGGUGAAAAGCCCGCUCGCCGGAAGACCAAGGGUUCCUGUCCAACGUUAAUCGGGGCAGGGUGAGUCGACCCCUAAGGCGAGGCCGAAAGGCGUAGUCGAUGGGAAACGGGUUAAUAUUCCCGUACUUGGUGUUACUGCGAAGGGGGGACGGAGAAGGCUAUGUUGGCCGGGCGACGGUUGUCCCGGUUUAAGCGUGUAGGUGUGUGUUCCAGGUAAAUCCGGUUCACUUUAACACUGAGGCGUGACGACGAGGCACUACGGUGCUGAAGCAACAAAUGCCCUGCUUCCAGGAAAAGCCUCUAAGCAUCAGGUAACAUCAAAUCGUACCCCAAACCGACACAGGUGGUCAGGUAGAGAAUACCAAGGCGCUUGAGAGAACUCGGGUGAAGGAACUAGGCAAAAUGGUGCCGUAACUUCGGGAGAAGGCACGCUGACACGUAGGUGAAGUGAUUUACUCAUGGAGCUGAAGUCAGUCGAAGAUACCAGCUGGCUGCAACUGUUUAUUAAAAACACAGCACUGUGCAAACACGAAAGUGGACGUAUACGGUGUGACGCCUGCCCGGUGCCGGAAGGUUAAUUGAUGGGGUCAGCGCAAGCGAAGCUCCUGAUCGAAGCCCCGGUAAACGGCGGCCGUAACUAUAACGGUCCUAAGGUAGCGAAAUUCCUUGUCGGGUAAGUUCCGACCUGCACGAAUGGCGUAAUGAUGGCCAGGCUGUCUCCACCCGAGACUCAGUGAAAUUGAACUCGCUGUGAAGAUGCAGUGUACCCGCGGCAAGACGGAAAGACCCCGUGA